GAUGAACGCUGGCGGCGUGCCUAAUACAUGCAAGUCGAGCGAACAGACGAGGAGCUUGCUCCUCUGACGUUAGCGGCGGACGGGUGAGUAACACGUGGAUAACCUACCUAUAAGACUGGGAUAACUUCGGGAAACCGGAGCUAAUACCGGAUAAUAUAUUGAACCGCAUGGUUCAAUAGUGAAAGACGGUUUUGCUGUCACUUAUAGAUGGAUCCGCGCCGCAUUAGCUAGUUGGUAGGGUAACGGCUUACCAAGGCAACGAUGCGUAGCCGACCUGAGAGGGUGAUCGGCCACACUGGAACUGAGACACGGUCCAGACUCCUACGGGAGGCAGCAGUAGGGAAUCUUCCGCAAUGGGCGAAAGCUUGACGGAGCAACGCCGCGUGAGUGAUGAGGGUCUUCGGAUCGUAAAACUCUGUUAUUAGGGAAGAACAAAUGUGUAAGUAACUAUGCACGUCUUGACGGUACCUAAUCAGAAAGCCACGGCUAACUACGUG
rnacentral:rRNA from 1 species